GAUGAACGCUGGCGGCGUGCUUAACACAUGCAAGUCGAACGAAGCGAUUUUAAUGAGACCCUCGGGUGGAUUUAAAAUUGACUUAGUGGCGGACGGGUGAGUAACGCGUGGGUAACCUGCCUUACACAGGGGGAUAACAGUUGGAAACGACUGCUAAUACCGCAUAUAAUACAUUUCGCGCAUGAGAGAUGUAUGAAAGUAUUUCGGUGUAAGAUGGGCCCGCGUCUGAUUAGCUAGUUGGUGAGGUAAUGGCUCACCAAGGCAACGAUCAGUAGCCGGCUUGAGAGAGUGACCGGCCACAUUGGGACUGAGACACGGCCCAAACUCCUACGGGAGGCAGCAGUGGGGAAUAUUGCACAAUGGGGGAAACCCUGAUGCAGCGACGCCGCGUGAGUGAAGAAGUAUUUCGGUAUGUAAAGCUCUAUCAGUAGGGAAGAAAAUGACGGUACCUAACUAAGAAGCCCCGGCUAACUACGUG
rnacentral:rRNA from 1 species